CAGCCGCCGCGGGAAUACGUAGGUGGCAAGCGUUGUCCGGAAUUAUUGGGCGUAAAGGGCUCGCAGGCGGCUUCUUAAGUCUGAUGUGAAAGCCCCCGGCUCAACCGGGGAGGGUCAUUGGAAACUGUUAAACUUGAGCGCAGAAGAGGAGAGUGGAAUUCCACGUGUAGCGGUGAAAUGCGUAGAGAUGUGGAGGAACACCAGCGGCGAAGGCGACUCUCUGGUCUGUAACUGACGCUGAGGAGCGGAAGUGUGGGGAGCGAACAGGAUUAGAGACCCGCGUAGUCCCUGUCUCUUAUCC
rnacentral:rRNA from 1 species